AUUGAACGCUGGCGGCAGGCCUAACACAUGCAAGUCGAACGAGUGGCGGACGGGUGAGUAAGGUCUGGGAAACUGCCUGAUGGAGGGGGAAAACGACUGGAAACGGUAGCUAAUACCGCAUACCAUCAGAUGUGCCCAGAGGGGAUUAGCUAGUUGGUGGGGUAACGGCUCACCAAGGCGACGAUCCCUAGCUGGCCUGAGAGGAUGACCGGCCACACUGGGACUGAGACACGGCCCAGACUCCUACGGGAGGCAGCAGUGGGGAAUAUUGGACAAUGGACGCAAGUCUGAUGCAGCCAUGCCGCGUGAAUGAAGAAGGUCUUCGGAUUGUAAAGCACUUUCGGCGGAGAAGCGUUACCUACCGAGGAAGCACCGGCUAACUCCGUGCCAGCAGCCGCGGUAAUAC
rnacentral:rRNA from 1 species